rnacentral:pre_miRNA from 1 species
GUGUCCCCUUGAGUUCCCUCGACCACUUCAUUGGGGGAAUGUCCGUUUGCUUAUAAUAUAAUUAGUAACCCUACUGAAGUGUUUGGGGGAACUCUGGGUGCCAU